AGUAGUACGCUAGUAACUUGUGUGUCUGUCCCGGUCCGCGUCCCUGUCCCGCUAUACGCCGCACAAGACGCUGUCGGACGCGUUCCAGCUCGGCGUCACGAGGCAUGAACGGGAGCAAGAGCACACAGUGAGCACAGAGGUCCGUACGGAGUCCAUAGAGUCGGAGGACGCGCGGCCGUGCGCCGCAGACUGCGCGCGCACGUGGAGCGAGUCGCGCACACACGCCACCGACCUGCUGUUCUAGUGAAAUCGCAGACUCAAGCCAGCAAAAAAGCGGUGAAUAAAAAAAACAAUAAACAUUCCUAUUGUUGGAACUGACAAGCAUAUUGUCGAUAAUUUUUAUACAAUUUUGACGCAAGUCUGAACAUAUGUACUUUAUGUUAAACUUUUAAUGUACUUAAAACUUGACCAGUAAUAUAUGAUCAUUGUCAAGAGGGCGCUGUUAUGCUCAUGUAUAGAGUGACAGUUCAGUUUAGUAUGAAAAUACUAGUUCCAGUGAAAUUCCGCAACAUGGCGCGUAAUCAUAUAUUCCUGGUCAGGCUUUACAUUUAUAUUAUAUCCAAUGUAUGAGCUGACAAGCAAUUAUUGACCUUAUUGUAUAUAUGUUAUGAUAUAUAAUCGCUAGCCUUUUAAUUUAUAAUGUACUUAUAUGCUGUGAAUUUAUAUUGAUUUGAAUCGCCUAUACUUUGUUUCAUACAAAUUUUGUUUGAAAAUAGAUAAUGUAAUAAUCCUCUUAAUUUUCUACCUAAACACAAAAAUAGUUUUUUUAUAACAUGUGACACUUUUUUGACAUAUAAUUCGAGCAUUAAUAUGCAUUUCAUCCUCGACUUAUAUAAGUCCUCGUUUGCGGCUAUACAAAUUUGCUUCGGGUAAAAUGGAUAGUAUUAUCACAGGGCGGACACGCUAUACAUCAAAAAUCGCUUGCGUUUAUAUGUGUGAACGGCACGUCUGUACACGCGUCAUGCGUCAUUGUGUAAGUUGCUUGAAAACAGUACUGAGCGGCCGGCGAACGGCCGUCAAUCUGCUGUCGCGGGGCGAGGUCAUUCGAGUCGGGGCGGGGCGGUGCGUGGCCGUUCUGUAUGAUAAUAUUAUUACUUAUUCUGUGGUAUUAUGCUCUCUUUAUACAAUCUAAGGUACCUGCACCGAAGCCAUCGUUAUUUUUAUUUUUCUAAUGUUUAAUAUGAACUUGUAGUUUUAUUAUUGACGCAAAAAUAAAACCAUAAUUUUAAAGUAUGAAAUUUUGAUAAUAGGCCAGCAUAAGAACCGGGCCUUUGGCGCAGGUUACUAUUAACCUUUUGGACGCCAAUGACCAAUAUAUACGCACCGUAGGUUCACAAAGACCGAUUAAUCGGUCAUAUACUACAGAGCAACAUAGACCUACGUGCAUAUGCAUAAAGUUCAAUUUUAGUUUGGAUGACUGGUUUUGUGGUUUUGUGUUUGUCACGGCGUCGAAAAGGUUAAAAGAGGACACCCAAAAGUUGAAUGCUUGAAUACAUUUUACAACCAAAAUGUACCACAUUGUCGCCUGUCAAUAAGGUUGAUUUCAAAUUGAAGCUAUAUGGAAAUAGCGCCUUAUUGACAACCGACAAUAAGUACCCUUUUGAUUGAGAACGGCACACAUUGUGUUUAGGUAGAAAAUAAAAUGUUUAUUAUAUAUAAUUUUAAACGAAAUGUCCAUAUUGACGAAACUACUAUUAAAGCGGAAUAUAAUUUUUUUGGCUGGGAAGACAGUCAUAGGCUCGGCUCGA